AGCGAACGCUGGCGGCAGGCUUAACACAUGCAAGUCGAGCGGGCAUCCUUGUGGUGUCAGCGGCAGACGGGUGAGUAACGCGUGGGAACGUGCCCUUCGGUUCGGAAUAACUCAGGGAAACUUGAGCUAAUACCGGAUACGUGCGAGAGCAGAAAGGUUUAUCUGCCGAAGGAUCGGCCCGCGUCUGAUUAGCUAGUUGGUGAGGUUACGGCUCACCAAGGCGACGAUCAGUAGCUGGUCUGAGAGGAUGAUCAGCCACACUGGGACUGAGACACGGCCCAGACUCCUACGGGAUGCAGCAGUGGGGAAUAUUGGAAAAUGGGGGCAACCCUGAUCCAGCCAUGCCGCGUGAGUGAUGACGGCCUUAGGGUUGUAAAGCUCUUUUCUCCGGGACGAUAAUGACGGUACCGGAGGAAUAAGCCCCGGCUAACUUCGUG
rnacentral:rRNA from 1 species